CUACGUGCCAGCAGCCGCGGUAAUACGGAGGAUGCGAGCGUUAUCCGGAUUUAUUGGGUUUAAAGGGUGCGUAGGCGGUUUGUUAAGUCAGCGGUGAAAUCUAGAGGCUCAACCUCGAAACUGCCGUUGAAACUGGCGAACUUGAGUGUAGAUGAGGUAGGCGGAAUUCGUGGUGUAGCGGUGAAAUGCAUAGAUAUCACGAGGAACUCCGAUUGCGAAGGCAGCUUACUAAGGUACAACUGACGCUGAAGCACGAAAGCGUGGGUAUCAAACAGGAUUAGAUACCCUGGUAGUCCACGCAGUAAACGAUGAUAACUGGGCGUAUGCGAUAUACAGUAUGCUCCUAAGCGAAAGCGUUAAGUUAUCCACCUGGGGAGUACGACCGCAAGGUUGAAACUCAAAGGAAUUGACGGGGGCCCGCACAAGCGGUGGAGCAUGUGGUUUAAUUCGAAGCAACGCGAAGAACCUUACCAGGUCUUGACAUCCCUCUGACCGCUCUAGAGAUAGAGUUUUC
rnacentral:rRNA from 1 species